GAUGAACGCUGGCGGCGUGCCUAAUACAUGCAAGUCGAGCGAACGGACGAGAAGCUUGCUUCUCUGAUGUUAGCGGCGGACGGGUGAGUAACACGUGGAUAACCUACCUAUAAGACUGGGAUAACUUCGGGAAACCGGAGCUAAUACCGGAUAAUAUUUUGAACCGCAUGGUUCAAAAGUGAAAGACGGUCUUGCUGUCACUUAUAGAUGGAUCCGCGCUGCAUUAGCUAGUUGGUAAGGUAACGGCUUACCAAGGCAACGAUGCAUAGCCGACCUGAGAGGGUGAUCGGCCACACUGGAACUGAGACACGGUCCAGACUCCUACGGGAGGCAGCAGUGGGAAUCUUCCGCAAUGGGCGAAAGCCUGACGGAGCAACGCCGCGUGAGUGAUGAAGGUCUUCGGAUCGUAAAACUCUGUUAUUAGGGAAGAACAUAUGUGUAAGUAACUGUGCACAUCUUGACGGUACCUAAUCAGAAAGCCACGGCUAACUACGUG
rnacentral:rRNA from 1 species